rnacentral:rRNA from 23 species
UGGCGGCUGUAGCGCGGUGGUCCCACCUGACCCCAUGCCGAACUCAGAAGUGAAACGCCGUAGCGCCGAUGGUAGUGUGGGGUCUCCCCAUGCGAGAGUAGGGAACUGCCAGACA